UUCAAUACUUUUUCCCUGUGUCAUUUCUCAUUAUUACACAUAAUUUACGGACGUCUAUGGUUUGAUUUCUUUGCAUUUACUUGGUGGUGUGUUCAAUACUUACUUCACCCGCUGUGUGUGUGUACACACACAUAUAUAUAUUACACACAUACAUAUACAUACAUAUAAAUCAAUAAAUAAUCAAUAUUAAUCACUGGCAGACCCAUCAUACGUGAGGUUCCAUACACAUCAGAACUGUAAGACAACUUCCAUGCCAUACAUUCACAUAGUAUAGCAUCACACACAUUAUUACGACGGAGCACUGCCACUCUCUGCCCUAAUGAGGGUAGUGGCAGUUUGUGUCAUACAAGCAUGCAGUGUACAAAGUAGUACUUUCUUUUCAGUUUGAUAGUUGAGGAUUUAAUAUCUUCCUAAUGGAUCAAGUUAACAGAAAAUCACACCAUUCGUGUGCUCUGUAGGUCAGAGAAAUGCAAAAGUGCUUGUGUAAAACUCCUCCUGCUCGUGAGGUCAGCCACACCACACGGGGCUUGCAGCACUAAUAGUGUCAUGAACACCAAGCUGCAGUGGGUGGUAGUGAGGUACCUGUCUGAGUGUUGGGGCCAGUGUUCUCACUUCAGUUUAAGAAACACACAAACUGCCAGUCUACUGGUUACCGCCAGGAACUGGACGGUAUGUUGAUCAAAACAGUUUCAGUGUGCUGAAAGCCCUGCCCACGUCCAGAAGUAGAUGACCUGCCUGGAUGAACAGGGCUUCUCACGGAUCACAGAGGGUCUCUGUCAGUCUCUAAAAUCUUGCACCAGCCCAAACCCCCUGAAACCAUGAGCGCGUACAUCUGACAUGGGUUUGUUGUUGUUUAUUUGUUUUUAAACUCUUGAGUACUCUCCCAGCUCCACCAGUACAUAAACCCGACCCGAGGGCCAGGAAAGCAGCCCGUAUCGGUAACAGAAGAAAAGUGUGAACUUGAAACGUUAGUGAAGACACACGUGCUAGUCACAAAGUGAUGACGAGGCCAAGAUCUUCACCAGCGAACCCACACAACGUUCCUUAGAGAAUCACACACACACACACACACACACACACACACACACACACACACACACACACACGAGAGUCCACGCGCAUGCCGCCUCCCUGGAUUCAAACAGUGACAUCAGGCCUGGUCCCGCCCCAGUAAGCUUUCAGACCAGCUCAUCACAAACUGCUCUCAUCCAGGAAGACACAGGCCCUUCGGCUCUGUUACACACACCCUGCUGCAAUCCUUCACUAAGCAACACAUCCUUCUGUGAAUAUCUCACACACACACACACACACACACACACACAUCGCUGGCAUCCGACAGAAACCAGCAACCA